rnacentral:lncRNA from 1 species
CGUGAUUAAAUUCCCAAUCUGCUCGUUAGACGUAUGUAAAAGAAUAAAGGAAAGAGGAAAACUUCAAUUCGUAGCCCUUGCUAUCUUGUUGAUUGGGAACAUUUCAUACUCUGUAUCAGGAAUCUGUGUUGCCGUAAUGCAAAACCCAAGUCCGAACUCAAUUAUAAAACGGAGGGUGAGAGGAAGGGCUGGCGUGGAAGAAGGGAGAGGAGGAGAUGGAUCAGGACUCAGGAGGGGAGAGAAACCGCGAGCGAGAGAGAGGAGAGAGAGAUUGGGAGAAGAGGAGGGGGGAGA